rnacentral:rRNA from 1 species
UGUUAGGGAAGAACAAGUACCGUUCGAAUAGGGCGGUACCUUGACGGUACCUAACCAGAAAGCCACGGCUAACUACGUGCCAGCAGCCGCGGUAAUACGUAGGUGGCAAGCGUUGUCCGGAAUUAUUGGGCGUAAAGCGCGCGCAGGCGGUUUCUUAAGUCUGAUGUGAAAGCCCCCGGCUCAACCGGGGAGGGUCAUUGGAAACUGGGGAACUUGAGUGCAGAAGAGGAGAGUGGAAUUCCACGUGUAGCGGUGAAAUGCGUAGAGAUGUGGAGGAACACCAGUGGCGAAGGCGACUCUCUGGUCUGUAACUGACGCUGAGGCGCGAAAGCGUGGGGAGCGAACAGGAUUAGAUACCCUGGUAGUCCACGCCGUAAACGAUGAGUGCUAAGUGUUAGAGGGUUUCCGCCCUUUAGUGCUGCAGCAAACGCAUUAAGCACUCCGCCUGGGGAGUACGGUCGCAAGACUGAAACUCAAAGGAAUUGACGGGGGCCCGCACAAGCGGUGGAGCAUGUGGUUUAAUUCGAAGCAACGCGAAGAACCUUACCAGGUCUUGACAUCCUCUGACAACCCUAGAGAUAGGGCUUCCCCUUCGGGGGCAGAGUGACAGGUGGUGCAUGGUUGUCGUCAGCUCGUGUCGUGAGAUGUUGGGUUAAGUCCCGCAACGAGCGCAACCCUUGAUCUUAGUUGCCAGCAUUCAGUUGGGCACUCUAAGGUGACUGCCGGUGACAAACCGGAGGAAGGUGGGGAUGACGUCAAAUCAUCAUGCCCCUUAUGACCUGGGCUACACACGUGCUACAAUGGGCAGAACAAAGGGCAGCGAAGCCGCGAGGCUAAGCCAAUCCCACAAAUCUGUUCUCAGUUCGGAUCGCAGUCUGCAACUCGACUGCGUGAAGCUGG